rnacentral:rRNA from 1 species
CCUACGGGGGGCAGCAGUGAGGAAUAUUGGUCAAUGGGCGCGAGCCUGAACCAGCCAAGUAGCGUGAAGGAUGACUGCCCUACGGGUUGUAAACUGCUUUUAUAAGGGAAUAAACUGAGGCACGUGUGCCUUUUUGCAGGUACCUUAUGAAUAAGGACCGGCUAAUUCCGUGCCAGCAGCCGCGGUAAUACGGAGGAUCCGAGCGUUAUCCGGAUUUAUUGGGUUUAAAGGGAGCGCAGAUGGCUUGUUAAGUCAGUUGUGAAAGGUCGCGGCUCAACCGUAGAAUUGCAGUGCAUACUGGGAGGCUUGAGUGCAGUUGAGGUAGGCGGAAUUCGUGGUGUAGCGGUGAAAUGCUUAGAUAUCACGAAGAACUCCGAUUGCGAAGGCAGCUUACUAUACUGUUACUGACAUUGAGGCUCGAAGGUGCGGGUAUCAAACAGGAUUAGAUACCCGUGUAGUC